rnacentral:rRNA from 1 species
AUGUACUGUAACAACAAACCAGAUCGAAGGGCCGAUCAAUUGGUUCAAGCAGAGAUUCGGAGGAGAAAUUAUCACCUUGCUCUGCUGAAUCUGCUUGAGGCUGUCGUAGGUGCAGAUCUCACGGCCUCGCGGAGGGAGGCGAGCGGGCGCAGAGCUCGCGGCCUGGCGGUUCACCUUGUUAUGCGCACUGGCCUUGGCCUCGUCCUCCGCCGUUGUCGCCUCGUCGUGCUCGUCGUCUUCAGGGAAGGCAAGCGGGGUGUCCGGGCUGGCGAUGCCCUCCUAUCUUCAUCGGCCGGCGCCAGCCCCACGCGGGGAUCUCCGGCCGCACCUGCUGCCGCUGCUCCUUCUGCUGCUGCUGGCGGCGGCGGUGGCUGGCCCGCUCGAUGGACGGCAGGUCCGAGAAAAUGGCGGCCACCUCCACCUUGCGCUCGCCGAACUUCUCCUGCGCGCGUCCGCUCCAGCCGCAGCGGCCGCCUUGGAUCUCUGUGA